AUGGCAUUUCGCCUGGGUGGGAAAAUAUCCCAGACGCUGCCCAAUCCCUGCGGGCCUCUUCGCUCCCGUCCCCCCUCUCCUCCCCUCCCGUCACACGGCCGCCGCCGCUCCCCUCCCCUUCCAACCUCCUGCUCCGACCCCGCAGAGGGCGCGUCCAUGGCCGGAGCGGAGGAGGAGAUCCAGGCGGAGCGCGCCAUCUCCAUCGCCAUGGCCCCCGGCCUUCGUCGAGCCGCUCGUCAUCUUCCUCGUCCUCGUCGUCAACGCCGCCAUCGGCGUCUGGCAGGUGGACUCCGGCGGCUCGUCUCCGUCUUCUUCCUCGUCCCCACGCGCGGCUCCACUUCCCGUUGGCCAUGGGGUUCAGCCUUAAGGGGCACAUCGGGCUGGGCAUCCUCUGUUUCUGAGUGCACGGGGCGGUUCGAGGCGCACUUGUGGAACAAGAACACAUGCACAGAGCCGCAGAGGAAGAAGAAAGGGAGGCAAGUUUAUUUCGGUUUGUCAGGCACGAUAAAAUUUUGA
rnacentral:rRNA from 1 species